AUGGCUCAGAUUGAACGCUGGCGGCGUGCUUAACACACGCAAGUCGCGCGUGAAAGGACUUCGGUCCGAGUAAAGCGGCGCACGGGUGAGUAACGCGUGGAUGAUCUACCCAUGAGUUGGGAAUAACGGCUGGAAACGGUCGCUAAUACCGAAUACGCUCCGAUUUCAUCUUCGGGGGAAAGGUGGCCUCUGCUUGCAAGCUACUGCUCAUGGAUGAGUCCGCGUCCCAUUAGCUAGUUGGUGGGGUAACGGCCCACCAAGGCGACGAUGGGUAGCCGGUCUGAGAGGAUGACCGGCCACACUGGGACUGGAACACGGCCCAGACUCCUACGGGAGGCAGCAGUGGGGAAUAUUGCGCAAUGGGCGAAAGCCUGACGCAGCGACGCCGCGUGAGGGAAUGAAGGUCCUCGGAUCGUAAACCUCUGUCAGGAGGGAAGAACCGCCACGGUGCUAAUCAGCCGUGGUCCUGACGGUACCUCCAAAGGAAGCACCGGCUAACUCCGUGCCAGCAGCCGC
rnacentral:rRNA from 1 species